rnacentral:rRNA from 1 species
GCGUGUGUGAAGAAGGCCUGCGGGUUGUAAAGCACUUUCAGUAGAGAAGAAAAGCCUACGGUUAAUACCCGUGAGUCUUGACGUAACCUACAGAAGAAGCACCGGCUAACUCCGUGCCAGCAGCCGCGGUAAUACGGAGGGUGCGAGCGUUAAUCGGAAUUACUGGGCGUAAAGCGCGCGUAGGCGGCUUUGUCAGUCGGAUGUGAAAGCCCCGGGCUUAACCUGGGAAUUGCAUUCGAUACUGCAGAGCUAGAGUAUGGUAGAGGGAAGUGGAAUUCCGGGUGUAGCGGUGAAAUGCGU